rnacentral:rRNA from 1 species
ACGAACGCUGGCGGCAGGCCUAACACAUGCAAGUCGAGCGAGAUCUUCGGGUCUAGCGGCGGACGGGUGAGUAACGCGUGGGAAUAUGCCCUUCUCUGCGGAAUAGCCUCGGGAAACUGAGCGUAAUACCGCAUACGCCCUUUGGGGGAAAGAUUUAUCGGAGAAGGAUUAGCCCGCGUUGGAUUAGGUAGUUGGUGGGGUAACGGCCUACCAAGCCGACGAUCCAUAGCUGGUUUGAGAGGAUGAUCAGCCACACUGGGACUGAGACACGGCCCAGACUCCUACGGGAGGCAGCAGUGGGGAAUCUUAGACAAUGGGGGCAACCCUGAUCUAGCCAUGCCGCGUGAGUGAUGAAGGCCUUAGGGUUGUAAAGCUCUUUCAGCUGGGAAGAUAAUGACGGUACCAGCAGAAGAAGCCCCGGCUAACUCCAUG